rnacentral:tRNA from 1 species
GGUGGGAUGGCAGAGUGGUCGAAUGCGGCGGUCUUGAAAACCGCUAUACCUGAAAGGGUAUCGGGGGUUCGAAUCCCUCUCCCACCG